AAAAAAAACCCGAACUCCAGCUCAGACCGAAAUCCCCAAAUCGACCCCUAGCCUCCUCCCGCACACUCCGCUGCCGCCGCCCACCCUCCGCGGCUGCCGACCGCCCUCCGCCACACCCCAGUGCCAGCUUCCUUCCCGACCACGCCGCCAACUACCGUCCGCCACACCCACUGCCACUCCCUCCCGGACCAUUCCGCCGAGCGCCCUCCGCCGCCCCGACCACCAUUGGCCGGACCUCCAGCAACGCCCAAGUAGCCAAGCCUCCUCCACGCGCUCUCCGCCAGGCUCGAGUUGCUCAAGCGUUUCAGCGGAAGGAUCUGUUCGGGUGAUGAUGACCACAAGGAUGGCUUCUAACUUCCACCAGAUUUCGCAUGACCACGAGGUAAUCCAGUUAGGUUUGGUUUGGAUUUGGCUGUCUUACUCGGUGUCGCCGCCGCCGAGCUGCGUCCCGAUGCCGACGUCGCUGCUGCUGGACGCCAGCGCCGGGCGGAAGAAGAUGCCGACCCCGUGCGCCGUGCAGGUGGCUGGCGGGGGGCGUGGAGGUCGGCGCCACCAAAACAAGUUGGUCCUCUCGAUCUAGCAGAGCAUAGCAGAUCCCUGACGAGCUGGUCCUCUUCGCCUUGGUCUGUUCUUCAUCCUAGACCGAGCGGAGUAUGCUUCAUCCUGCAGGCCCCCCAUGGCAUUGGCAAGAAGAAGAAUGAAUACUGAGAUCAAGUCAGAAUAACAAGGAUCACAGCACCUGGAACUGCGUGAUGUACUCCACCAUCGGACGGCGAACAUCUCCGCCAUCGGACGAGGGAAGCGGGGGAAGAACGGGAUCCCCAGCGCGGCGCCGGCGCGCACCUGGUCCAUCAGUAGUAUACUCGUUCAGUCAUCUUUGCUCAAGGGAAGUGUAACUGAAGAUGAGUACUCACACCUUGGCUGCUGAUAAAGGCGAUGGCGAAGCGGUUCUGGGAUCAUCGGCGCUGAGAGAGGAUUGUACCCAGGGGCUCAUUAAAGUCUACGUUCCUGUUACAAAGAGGCCUGAAUGCCUACAUGACCAUGAUGUUCUUUGUUGCUGUCAAAGAAAAUCUUUGGUGGGAGCACAUUUGAUCCAUUUAGUGAGCACAUUUUCUAGGAGUAGAAAUCAGUGUUAACUGACAAAUGUUCAGUAAAUGGAUGCUAUCAAAGAUUUUAUUUACUGCUGCCAUAUUAGUGUUAGCGGUAUAUGCUCUAUGUAAACUAUAUUUAGAGAUUCAGUGAUGGGUUGAUUUACAAAUACUGAAGAUUUGGAGUAGAUGGGAUAAGCUUGCCAACAACUACUCAAUUUGCUUGGAGUAGGCCUAUUUUGCUUGCAAUAAGUUGGACUACAGCAAGUGAGUAGUGCUCAGUACUGUUAAGUUAGAGUAGUCAUGUUUAGUUCAGUACUGUUGAGUUAAGAGUAGUCAGCAAGUGUUGCUUAGGACUACACUGAACAUGUUGCACCUAACUGACCAUAUUCAAAGCAAGUUAAAAAUGAAAAGCAAGUUAAUGUCAAGUUAACUGAGCAUUUUGACAAUAAGCGUUCAUUUAAGUUAACAGUAAAUCAAGUUUUCUUUUUUGCGCGCGGGGGGGCAGUAAAUCAAGUUAAUGUCAAGUUACUUUGUCAACUCGUUCCUGUUCACAGUGGUGAAAUUUUGUCAAUAUGCUUGUUACUUUGUCAAAAUGCUUGUUACUGACCAUUUACUCUUGUCAAAAUGCUUGUUCCAGUGUAUUGACCAUUUAAUCUACUGACCAUUUAUAUCAUGUAUGGAGAAGUUCAUUUUGCUGUGUACUGAUGGAGAAGUUCAUUUUGCUGUGUACUGAAAGCACUCACAAUGCUUGUUCCAGUAUAAAUAAUGUUUAGUUAAAACUGAAUUAAUCUUUUCGGUACAACUAAAUGAUCCACUGUUCUUCUGAACAAUGACAUGCUUUGUAUAAAUACUGUUUAGUGCAUAUUACUCCGGUACUCAUCAGUGCAUUUUACAAUGAUAUACAGAUCGAGUGUAGUCAUUUGGUACUUCCCUUUGAAGUUGUAGCCCCUGUAGUAAUGUCAAAAUGAUGCUUAUCUACUCAUGUCAAUUAAGUGAUGGAACUACAAGUACUCCAUUAAGUGAUGUAACAUCAUCAUGUACUGGCACCAUUUUUGCCUUGCUUGUUACUCCAUGCUGGUCCCAUGUCAAUUAAGUGAUGGAACUACAAGUACUCCGUUCCAUAAUUUUUAUCGUGGUUUUAGUUCAAAUGGAACAGAGGGAUUAAUUGGCAGUGCCAAAUGCAGAAGCAUUUGGUUCUCUAACAUCGAACAUGGGUUUAGACUGAAUUUGACAAGGAACAUGGGUUUAGGCAAAUUUGGAUGCCUGAUGGAAAAUGUGGGCUGCAGCCUGCACACUGGACCUGUUAACUCCUGAAUUUCAGUGCACUUGCUACUUUUAUUUGUUUGCUUUCAAAUUCUAGUGAUUCCUCAAAUUCUGCUGUAAAUUACUGCUGUUGUCGCGCUGUUUAACUGAUUCCUCAAAUUCUGCUGUAAAUUUCAGUGUACGGGCGAGGAGUACCUGCCUGGAGUGUUGUUUGCGGCGAGGACCAGGCUGGGCAGCGCGGCGACCAAGCUGGCGUUGAGAGGACCAGGCUGGUGCGGCGAGGACCAAAUUGGGAGCGGCGGAGGCGGCGGCCAGGCUGGGGCGGCGGCGAUCAAAUUGGGAGCGGCGGCGACCAAACUGGGCAAGGACGACGGGGAAGAGACUGGCGAAGGGGCCUGCUGGUGGAUGGACUAGUAGCUGGAGGAGGUGGAGGGCGGAGGAGGUGGCUGGCCUGGCGGAGGAAGACGACGACUCUCAGCGACAACUCUCGUUUUCAAAUCAGGGGUAUUUUUGUACUUUUGUUCAUUUUCACCUUGUCGGAAAUUUCUCCCAGCUACAACUAUUUCGGUACAGAGGGAGUAAUUUGCAUGUUGGUUUGUGUGCUUCAGCAAUCACGAUACUACUUUGUGAUAUGAUUAGUGAGAGGUAUUUUGCAUGGUUCUCUUAUAUCUUUUUUCUCUCUAUAUAAAGUAGCAUUAUUUCAAAAUGUCCUUGUAUUUCCUCUCAGAAGCUCACACCUGAAUAUCAUGAUAUAUGCUUGUAAAAA